rnacentral:rRNA from 1 species
UACGGGGGGGGCAAGCGUUGUUCGGAAUUACUGGGCGUAAAGGGCCAGUAGGCGGCCAACUAAGUCGGAUGUGAAAUCCCCAGGCUUAACCUGGGAACUGCAUCCGAUACUGGAUGGCUUGAAUUCGGGAGAGGGAUGCAGAAUUCCAGGUGUAGCGGUGAAAUGCGUAGAUAUCUGGAGGAAUACCGGUGGCGAAGGCGGCAUCCUGGACCGAUAUUGACGCUGAGGCGCGAAAGCCAGGGGAGCAAACGGG